CAGGGUUAAGCUCGGUUUCUUCCUCCACAGCCCAUUCCCUUCUUCCGAAAUUUAUCGAACCUUACCUGUCCGAGAGGAGCUACUAAGGGGGCUCCUAAACUGUGAUUUAAUUGGUUUCCACACCUUUGAUUACGCACGGCAUUUCUUGUCAUGCUGCUGUAGAAUGCUUGGGUUGGAGUAUGAAUCUAAAAGAGGGCAUAUUGCUCUUGACUACUUGGGCCGUACAGUUUUCCUCAAGAUUCUUCCUAUAGGUAUUCAAAUGGGAAGGCUCGAAUCCGUUCUGAAUCUUCCUGCUACAGCUGAGAAACUGAAAGAGAUCCAAGAAAAGUACCGCGGUAAGAAGGUGAUACUCGGUGUUGAUGACAUGGAUAUAUUCAAAGGUCUGAGUCUAAAGAUUUUGGCCUUUGAACAUCUCCUUCAGCAAUAUCCUAGCAUGCAAGGGAAAUUAGUUCUCAUUCAGAUUGUCAACCCAGCUAGAGGAUCAGGUAAAGACGUUCAAGAGGCAAAGAAAGAGACGUAUUACACUGUCAAUAGAAUCAACGAGCGUUAUGGUUUGCCUGGUUAUGAGCCAGUGGUUCUGAUCGAUCGUCCUGUUCCUCGGUUUGAGAAGUCUGCCUAUUAUGCCAUGGCGGAAUGCUGUAUAGUCAACGCAGUGAGGGAUGGGAUGAACUUGGUUCCAUACAAGUACACUGUUUGUCGACAGGGAACUCCUGAAAUGGAUAAAUCUCUGGGACUAAGUGAAGAUUCUCCUCGCACAAGCACGCUUGUUCUGUCUGAGUUCAUUGGUUGCUCUCCGUCUCUAAGUGGCGCUAUCAGGGUCAACCCUUGGGACGUUGAUGCGGUGGCUGAUUCAAUGUACUCCGCUAUCACCAUGUCUGAUUUUGAGAAGCAGCUACGCCACAAGAAACACUACCACUACAUUAGUACACACGACGUGGCGUACUGGUCACGCAGCUUUACCCAGGAUUUGGAGAGGGCAUGUCGUGAUCAUUACAGUAAACGAUGCUGGGGAGUUGGUUGGGGUUUAGGUUUUAGGCUCAUCGCUCUCUCUCCUAAUUUCAGAAGACUAUCCAUUGAGCAAACUGUCAGUGCUUAUAGAAGAUCGAGCAAGAGAGCAAUAUUUCUUGAUUAUGACGGUACUUUAGUUCCGGAGGCCUCAAUUGUAAAGGAACCAAGUGCUGAUGUGAUCUCUGCGCUGAAGACACUGUGUAGUGAUCCUGAUAACACUGUAUUUGUUGUUAGCGGGAGAGGGAAAGUUUCUUUAAGCGAGUGGCUUGCGCCGUGUGAGAAUCUUGGAAUAGCGGCUGAACAUGGUUACUUCACAAGGUAACAUUACUGGUUUGUUUUUGUUCUGAUUGUCUUGUGCAAACAUAAAAUGCAAUGUCUGGUGAUGCAGGUGGAAUAAUUCUUCUGACUGGGAAACAAGUGGCUUUUCUGAUGACCUCGAAUGGAAGAAAAUCGUGGAGCCUAUCAUGAGACUGUAUACAGAAACUACUGAUGGAUCGAACAUAGAAGCGAAGGAGAGUGCACUAGUGUGGCAUCACCAAGAUGCUGACCCUGACUUUGGUUCUUGCCAAGCCAAGGAACUACUGGACCAUCUAGAAACUGUUCUUGUAAAUGAACCCGUUGUGGUUCACAGAGGUCACCAAAUCGUUGAAGUUAAGCCUCAGGUAAUACCCUAAUCUUCUUUUAAUAGAGAGAAAGCAUCUCCAAACCUUAUAUAGUUCUUAUAUCUGGAUUCAUGACUACCAUUUAAUGCUUCUCCCAACGUUCCUCAGGAGGCGUUUCCACAGGGUUAAGCUCGGUUUCUUCCUCCACAGCCCAUUCCCUUCUUCCGAAAUUUAUCGAACCUUACCUGUCCGAGAGGAGCUACUAAGGGGGCUCCUAAACUGUGAUUUAAUUGGUUUCCACACCUUUGAUUACGCACGGCAUUUCUUGUCAUGCUGCUGUAGAAUGCUUGGGUUGGAGUAUGAAUCUAAAAGAGGGCAUAUUGCUCUUGACUACUUGGGCCGUACAGUUUUCCUCAAGAUUCUUC
rnacentral:lncRNA from 1 species